CGAAUGGGACAAGUUGAGAGAGAAUGCCAAGUAUCAAGGAUAUAGGCCCACAGAUGACAUCAUCCAGAACUUCUGGAUAGUUUUCAUGGAGUUCUCUGAGGAGCAAAAGAAGAAGUUCUUAACUUUUCUAACUGGAACGGACAGACUGCCCAGAGGACGAAGCUCUCCAAACUGCAGAUGCAAAUCACGUCUUUGGGCGGAAUUG